CGCGGAGCUCCAGUGGUGGGCACUGCCACCUUGCCAUCCCUAGCCCCCACCGCCCUUCGCAGAGUCCAGUCCGGUUUUCUGGGUUUGCCAGCGCAUCGCUGCAACUAAUGAUUAAAGAAACCAAACCGAAACUUACCUUUCUCCCUUAAGGUUUUUGUGUAUGUGUGUUUUUAAAGUAACGGUGCAGUUCUCCCAAUAAGGAUGAGCAAGAAGCUGCUGGAUAGUUCUCUUAAGACAGCACGAAACCUAAACUGUGCUCGGCUUAAAAGAAGCAAAUAAAAAGAAACGCUUUCGACCCCAAAGUCCAAUGCUAAAAGAAAUGGCGAAAAAAAAAUAUGAAAGGGGAGGGGAAACUUAAAAAAGAGUUUAAAAAGACGGAGAGACUACCCUCCUAUUGCCGUUCAACUAAACAAAAAGGGGCAAGAAAAACAAACCAAGGAACAAAGAAAAGAGACGAAAGAACGUUUUUUCAAAAAGACGAUGUCUUUCUCCUUGUUGCUUUUUAGUAGGUCGCUACAGGAGUAAGCUGCUGCAUCCCUAACUGAGAACAGAAAUAGGGGGGAGGACGUCUUAAAAGGGAGGUGGACUGGACCACAGAUUUAUAGCACCGUAUCACCAACCCCUUCUCUGCCUCCGCACUGCCGUGUGUGCAGCUGCUCUGCCAGGCUCCUAUCCCGGGCAGCACGCGCGGAAGUAUACGCCGAAUCGCGCCACAACGUAACUUGCUCAUCGCCCCAGGAUCCUGAUUGGUCCAGACGCUUCCAUUGAGGCCGCCCAGGCGGGGCCGCGUGAGACGAUUGGCUAUGGGCUUGUGUCACUCUCGAGAGCUCAAUGGAGUCCCGUUUCAAGUAGUAUGUGGACCUGCCUUUCACCGAAAGGGGGGAAAAGUUGUGAAAAUUGACACCAGUGUGAAUUUAUACCGUGGCAACCACGCAAGAGAAAGAGGCAGGAAUUAGCACCAUGGACAGAGACGAGCAGCCCUCAAAUUAAGAUUUGCAAAGCUUGAGACGGUGUUUUCUGUCCCUUUCUGUGAGACACGGAAACUGCGUGUCUUGGGAAUGUUUUAUUCCACGGGACUUUGCGGAAAAGACUGUCCUACUCCACAGAAACUCAUUUAUUUUGAAUUAGGCUGGCAUUUCUUAAGACUCAGCCAUCGUGACAAACUGUCAGGAGAGUUAGAGCCCCGAACUCGCUGUGCACCUUCCACUGUCCUGUUUUACAUACACUCCCUUGCCGGCGUGAGCUCGCCUUUCUUCAGAGUGUUCAUGAAAAAUAAAUGCAAAUCCAGGUAGUCUUCGAAAAGUCUGGUAAACCUGCUCUAGAGUUUUUAAUCCUCGAAUAUCCCAGCUGGAAUUGCAGCAAAACUGCCUACCUGCUUACCCUUGCUCC